UAUAAUGCAGUCGAAGCGGACAGAAGGGAGCUUGCUCCCGGAUGUUAGCGGCGGACGGGUGAGUAACACGUGGGUAACCUGCCUGUAAGACUGGGAUAACUCCGGGAAACCGGAGCUAAUACCGGAUAGUUCCUUGAACCGCAUGGUUCAAGGAUGAAAGACGGUUUCGGCUGUCACUUACAGAUGGACCCGCGGCGCAUUAGCUAGUUGGUGAGGUAACGGCUCACCAAGGCGACGAUGCGUAGCCGACCUGAGAGGGUGAUCGGCCACACUGGGACUGAGACACGGCCCAGACUCCUACGGGAGGCAGCAGUAGGGAAUCUUCCGCAAUGGACGAAAGUCUGACGGAGCAACGCCGCGUGAGUGAUGAAGGUUUUCGGAUCGUAAAGCUCUGUUGUUAGGGAAGAACAAGUGCAAGAGUAACUGCUUGCACCUUGACGGUACCUAACCAGAAAGCCACGGCUAACUACGUGCCAGCAGCCGCGGUAAUACGUAGGUGGCAAGCGUUGUCCGGAAUUAUUGGGCGUAAAGGGCUCGCAGGCGGUUUCUUAAGUCUGAUGUGAAAGCCCCCGGCUCAACCGGGGAGGGUCAUUGGAAACUGGGAAACUUGAGUGCAGAAGAGGAGAGUGGAAUUCCACGUGUAGCGGUGAAAUGCGUAGAGAUGUGGAGGAACACCAGUGGCGAAGGCGACUCUCUGGUCUGUAACUGACGCUGAGG
rnacentral:rRNA from 1 species